rnacentral:lncRNA from 1 species
GUUGAAUUACUCAGGAAUAACUUUUUUGAUGUUAACUUUUUCAAUUACUUGAAUUAUGGUGUAAUUGGUGAAAUCAUCGGUCAUGAAUUAAGUCAUACCGUAGAUAGUGAAAGUAGACUAUUGAAAAAGACUGCGUUAAAAUUUAAAUGGAGUAAUUCAUCGAAUGAUGAAUAUCAAAAGCAGGAGACUUGUAUGAUCAAUCAAUAUCAAAACUAUUUUACCGUAAAUAAAAUUAAGCUCAACGCUACAAAUUACUUAGCUGAAAAUAUUGCCGAUAAUAUUGGAAUAUAAAUAGCUUACUUGGCCUACCAAGAUUGGGUCGCUCAAAACGGUCAUGAGCCAAAUUUACCCGGACUGUCGUACACACCCAAUCAAUUAUUCUGGAUAUCAUUCGCUAAUAAAUGGUGUCAAUCAAAAUCGAUAUUAUCGAAUUUAGACGACAAGGAACUUUAUGCUCCUAAUGAUAAACGAGUGAUUGGACCGCUUUCAAACAGCAUAGAGUUUUCAAAAGAUUUCAACUGUCCCGUUGGAUCGAACAUGAAUCCUUUAAACAAGUGUGCUUUUUUCUGAAAAUAUCUGUUGUGGU